AUUGAACGCUGGCGGAAUGCUUUACACAUGCAAGUCGAGCGGCAGCGCGGGGGCAACCCUGGCGGCGAGCGGCGAACGGGUGAGUAACACAUCGGAACGUACCCAGUGGUGGGGGAUAGCCCGGCGAAAGCCGGAUUAAUACCGCAUACGACCUGAGGGGGAAAGUGGGGGACCGCAAGGCCUCACGCCGUUGGAGCGGCCGAUGUUCGAUUAGCUAGUUGGUAGGGUAAAGGCCUACCAAGGCGACGAUCGAUAGCUGGUCUGAGAGGACGACCAGCCACACUGGAACUGAGACACGGUCCAGACUCCUACGGGAGGCAGCAGUG
rnacentral:rRNA from 1 species